rnacentral:rRNA from 1 species
UAUUGGUCAAUGGGGGAAACCCUGAACCAGCAACGCCGCGUGAGGGAAGACGGUUUUCGGAUUGUAAACCUCUGUCCUCUGUGAAGAUAAUGACGGUAGCAGAGGAGGAAGCUCCGGCUAACUACGUGCCAGCAGCCGCGGUAAUACGUAGGGAGCAAGCGUUGUCCGGAUUUACUGGGUGUAAAGGGUGCGUAGGCGGCCUUGCAAGUCAGAAGUGAAAUCCAUGGGCUUAACCCGUGAACUGCUUUUGAAACUGUAGGGCUUGAGUGAAGUAGAGGCAGGCGGAAUUCCCGGUGUAGCGGUGAAAUGCGUAGAUAUUAGGAGGAACACCAGUGGCGAAGGCGGCCUGCUGGACUGUAACUGACGUUGAGGCUCGAAGGCGUGGGGAGCAAACAGG